rnacentral:rRNA from 1 species
GACAGAGGGUGCGAGCGUUGUUCGGAAUUACUGGGCGUAAAGCGCGCGCAGGCGGCUUUGCAAGUCGGGAGUGAAAUACCGGGGCUCAACCCCGGCACGGCUUCCGAAACUGCAUGGCUAGGGACCGGUAGAGGCUGGUGGAAUUCCCGGUGUAGCGGUGGAAUGCGUAGAUAUCGGGAAGAACACCCGUGGCGAAGGCGGCCAGCUGGGCCGGGUCCGACGCUGAGGCGCGAAAGCGUGGGGAGCAAAC